UACGGAGGAUCCAAGCGUUAUCCGGAUUUAUUGGGUUUAAAGGGUGCGUAGGUGGCCUGUUAAGUCAGGGGUGAAAGACGGUAGCUCAACUAUCGCAGUGCCCUUGAUACUGAUGGGCUUGAAUGAACUAGAGGUAGGCGGAAUGUGACAAGUAGCGGUGAAAUGCAUAGAUAUGUCACAGAACACCAAUUGCGAAGGCAGCUUACUAUGGUUUGAUUGACACUGAGGCACGAAAGCGUGGGGAGCGAACAGG
rnacentral:rRNA from 1 species